UACGGAGGGGGUUAGCGUUGUUCGGAAUUACUGGGCGUAAAGCGCGCGUAGGCGGAUUGGAAAGUUGGGGGUGAAAUCCCGGGACUCAACCCCGGAACGGCCUCCAAAACUCCCAGUCUUGAGUUCGAGAGAGGUGAGAGGAAUUCCGAGUGUAGAGGUGAAAUUCGUAGAUAUUCGGAGGAACACCAGUGGCGAAGGCGGCUCACUGGCUCGAUACUGACGCUGAGGUGCGAAAAUGUGGGGAGCAAACAGG
rnacentral:rRNA from 1 species